AGUUUGAUCAUGGCUCAGAUUGAACGCUGGCGGCAGGCCUAACACAUGCAAGUCGAGCGGUAGAGAGAAGCUUGCUUCUCUUGAGAGCGGCGGACGGGUGAGUAAUGCCUAGGAAUCUGCCUGGUAGUGGGGGAUAACGUUCGGAAACGGACGCUAAUACCGCAUACGUCCUACGGGAGAAAGCAGGGGACCUUCGGGCCUUGCGCUAUCAGAUGAGCCUAGGUCGGAUUAGCUAGUUGGUGAGGUAAUGGCUCACCAAGGCGACGAUCCGUAACUGGUCUGAGAGGAUGAUCAGUCACACUGGAACUGAGACACGGUCCAGACUCCUACGGGAGGCAGCAGUGGGGAAUAUUGGACAAUGGGCGAAAGCCUGAUCCAGCCAUGCCGCGUGUGUGAAGAAGGUCUUCGGAUUGUAAAGCACUUUAAGUUGGGAGGAAGGGUUGUAGAUUAAUACUCUGCAAUUUUGACGUUACCGACAGAAUAAGCACCGGCUAACUCUGUGCCAGCAGCCGCGGUAAUACAGAGGGUGCAAGCGUUAAUCGGAAUUACUGGGCGUAAAGCGCGCGUAGGUGGUUUGUUAAGUUGGAUGUGAAAUCCCCGGGCUCAACCUGGGAACUGCAUUCAAAACUGACUGACUAGAGUAUGGUAGAGGGUGGUGGAAUUUCCUGUGUAGCGGUGAAAUGCGUAGAUAUAGGAAGGAACACCAGUGGCGAAGGCGACCACCUGGACUAAUACUGACACUGAGGUGCGAAAGCGUGGGGAGCAAACAGGAUUAGAUACCCUGGUAGUCCACGCCGUAAACGAUGUCAACUAGCCGUUGGAAGCCUUGAGCUUUUAGUGGCGCAGCUAACGCAUUAAGUUGACCGCCUGGGGAGUACGGCCGCAAGGUUAAAACUCAAAUGAAUUGACGGGGGCCCGCACAAGCGGUGGAGCGUGUGGUUUAAUUCGAAGCAACGCGAAGAACCUUACCAGGCCUUGACAUCCAAUGAACUUUCUAGAGAUAGAUUGGUGCCUUCGGGAACAUUGAGACAGGUGCUGCAUGGCUGUCGUCAGCUCGUGUCGUGAGAUGUUGGGUUAAGUCCCGUAACGAGCGCAACCCUUGUCCUUAGUUACCAGCACGUUAUGGUGGGCACUCUAAGGAGACUGCCGGUGACAAACCGGAGGAAGGUGGGGAUGACGUCAAGUCAUCAUGGCCCUUACGGCCUGGGCUACACACGUGCUACAAUGGUCGGUACAGAGGGUUGCCAAGCCGCGAGGUGGAGCUAAUCCCAUAAAACCGAUCGUAGUCCGGAUCGCAGUCUGCAACUCGACUGCGUGAAGUCGGAAUCGCUAGUAAUCGCGAAUCAGAAUGUCGCGGUGAAUACGUUCCCGGGCCUUGUACACACCGCCCGUCACACCAUGGGAGUGGGUUGCACCAGAAGUAGCUAGUCUAACCUUCGGGAGGACGGUUACCACGGUGUGAUUCAUGACUGGGGUGAAGUCGUAACAAGGUAGCCGUAGG
rnacentral:rRNA from 1 species